UUUCUCACGGAUUUCUUUUACUUAUUUUGACUUGGCCCAGCGGCAGCUCCAUUUGAAAGGUUUUGAGUCUAUUUUUCUGAACAAGCUCCAUGGGGCAGGAAUAGCGUUUUCUUGCUGUAUCUCCAGUGCUGAGAGAGAGGCCUAUACCAGGUGCAUGAUAUAUGCCUAUGGAUACUGAAUGAAAUAAGUGGGUGUUGCUGUCAAACGCGCUGAACACGGCUCUGCCCAUCCUCCCCCAGCGUGGACUUAGCAAAUGCUGGGACGUUUCUGAGAGCUUUUGAUUUUAAUGACUUCAGGAACUAGGAAGAGAGCAGGAUUUGUCUCUGAAAGGAAUGAAUUACAACUGUCUGUACGGACAGUUUUCCUAAAUCAGGCAUGGAGCUACUGUCUAUCUCUUUACCCGGAGAUCCUCUUAGUGACUGAGCCCAAGGGCGGAGUAUUGACCGUGAACUUCCUAAGGUCCCGCGAGGACUAGAACUCCAGAGUCAAGGCUUUGCGUGAACGAGGGGCUUAAACCCUGGUGGCGCCUCCACCCCUCCUAGAGAUGUUGUCAAGCGGCCUGUGAGAAGAUGAGGAGGGAUGGAGAAGAUGCUUGUCUGUAGACCGUGUUUUGAGCUCUAUGGCAGCUCCUCUGCAAACCUUAGGAAUGAUGAGACGGGGCAGCAGCAUGAAGGCAGAGGCUUUACCCCAUCAGGGCGCUUUUUAGGUGUUGUGAAAACCCAUGAGAGAACUGCUAAACACAGGAUAGUUAAGCCAUGUUUCUGCUGUUGGUCCUGGGAGCACUGCCACCUCUGCUUGCACCUAGGUGGGCACCUGCCAGCCGAUGGGCCCCUUACUUCGCUGUUAACUCGAGAGCAUUCCUGUUAUACACAGGGAUUCUGAACAGGAAGAAGGGCAUUUCUCAGAAGGAACAGGAGGAAACCUUGAACUCCAGAUAAGAAUAAUCAGUCCUUCCAACGUAACUGCGCAUGCCUAGCUGUCAGCCCCACCAGCGUGGACACGUGACUGAAGAACGCAUCAGCCCAGCUGCCUGUAAGGGAAGGGACUUCUGCAUUCUUUUUUAAGCACAGGACUGCCCUCUUGAAUUUUAGUUACGCAUUAUUUAUAACAUGAAAACAAAUGGCAUUUUGUUCCCCCGAGAAGUGACUCAAGCUAAAAAUCAAACUUUUAAAAAUGUUUUAAAAUGUUCAUAAAUUACACAUAAUAGGUUUCAUCGUGAGUUGCUUACUCACUUGGGAGGUUUGCUUCCUGGAAUUUUUUGUUUUUUUCCGUUUUAGGGCCACACCCAUAGCUUAUGGAAGUUCCCAGGCUAGGGGUCAAAUCUUGAGUCAGCGCUGCCGCUGCCGGCCUACACCACAGCCACAGCAACACUAGAUCUGAGCCGUGUCUGCAACGUACACCACAGCUCACGGCAGUGCCGGAUCCUCAACCCACUGAGCAAGGCCGGGCAUCACACCCAAGUCCUCAGGGGUACUAGUUGAGCUCUUAACCUGCUGAGCCACCACGGGAACGCCUCUCGACCUUGAAAAUUGAGUAGGACCGUGACCUUUCCCACGGCCACUUCCCUGGCCGCCCUCUGUCCGAGAGAGGAUGCUCCUGCCACGGACACGACACUUUGAGAGGAGGGAGGAAAACAGCAGGCAGGUUUUCAGGGCUGAGAUGCAUGAAGAAAUGGUAUGUGAUCUGAAGUUGCUUAGAUUAGACAAGAUGACCGUUUCUGAAGAAAUAACUUUUUAUGAAAUGGUUAUCGAAUCUUAAUUACGCUUGAGGAUUACUCAUGAGCGUGUGCUCCUAAACUAUGUGGGUGAAACAAAUCAAUAGUUAGACUUGGGAAUUUGACCGUCCCGCUGAUGAGCCCAGGAUAGUCCACGGGGACAGGGAAUGAAGUCGUCGGGGGCGGGGAGGGGCAUUGGGUCUACGAGGGGGGAAGGAUCAGGUGUCCCAGAGCCUGUUAACUGCAGACUGGUUCAGAAAUAGGAAAUUAGAAGUCCUAACUACUUUAAUUCAGCCUCAGUUUUUUUAAAGCCUACCAUUUUUAAAAAUCAACUCAUAAAUAAUAGUGUUACUAAAUGAGGAACUUUAAGGGGAAAAGCCUCUGACACAGUAAAGCAUCAGACUACUUGCAUUUUCUCUUUGUAACCAAGAAGGGCAAAGUGCAUUUUCAUGCCAAGCAGGUUACAGAGGACCUCAGCGAGGACAGACAAUGAUUUAACCUAACUUUAAGUAUCUCCUAAUUAUUUAUGUGUUCCUGACUAGAUUGUUUGCAAGAAGUUCUGUGAUAUUCUGCUUUUUAUUUUAUUUAUUUAUUUAUUUGUUGUCUUUUUUAGGGCCACACCUGCGGCAUAUGGAGACUCCCAGGCUAGGGGUCUAAUCAGAGCUUCGGCUGCCAGCCCACGCCAAAGCCACAGCAACUCGGGACCCAAGCCGCGUCUGUGACCUACACCACAGCUCACAGUGACACCGGAUCCUUAACCCACUGAGCGAGGCCAGGGAUCAAACCCGCAGCCUCAUGGUUCCUAGGCAGAUUCCUUAACCACUGAGCCAUGACAGAAACUCCUGUGAUAUUAUGCUUUUUAAAAAGCUUUUAUUGGCAUCCUUUCUGACGUAUCAAAACCUGAGCUUCUGUAACGCUUCUUUAGGAGACUGAAUGUGCUGAGAAGGUUUGCUCUAGAAAACCAUUCAUUUGAAGUGAAAAACCGUUUCUCAUGGGUAUAGAGUUGGCUGCCCAAGCGUAUUGAUCGCAUUAACUCUGACCUCACUGAUUUUGCUAUAAUUAAAUCAACUGUUAGAAAA
rnacentral:lncRNA from 1 species